rnacentral:misc_RNA from 1 species
UUAAGUUCAGCGGGUAUCCCUACCUGAUCCGAGGUCAACCGGUAAAAAUUGGUUUUGACCAGCGCCGCCGGGCCACCAAGCGGGACAAGAGUUCCCAUACGCUCGGGCACCGAAACGGACGCCGCCACUGCCUUUCGGACCCGUCCUCGGGGGACGAAGCCCAACACACAAGCCGCGCUUGAGGGUUGCAAUGACGCUCG